GAUGAAGAACGCAGCGAAAUGCGAUAAGUAAUGUGAAUUGCAGAAUUCAGUGAAUCAUCGAAUCUUUGAACGCACAUUGCGCCCUCUGGUAUUCCGGGGGGCAUGCCUGUUCGAGCGUCAUUACAACCCUCAAGCUCUGCUUGGUAUUGGGCUCUGCCGGUCCUGGCAGGCCUCAAAGUCAGUGGCGGUGCCAUCCGGCUCCAAGCGUAGUAAUUCUCCUCGCUUCGGAGGCCGCGGUGCGUGCUAGCCAGCAACCCCCAAUUUUUUGCAGGUUGACCUCGGAUCAGGUAGGGAUACCCGCUGAACUUAAGCAUAUCAAUAAGCGGAGGA
rnacentral:misc_RNA from 1 species